rnacentral:rRNA from 1 species
CACGUAGGGCGCAAGCGUUGUCCGGAAUUAUUGGGCGUAAAGAGCUCGUAGGCGGUCUGUUGCGUCCGCUGUGAAAACUCGGGGCUUAACCCCGAGCCUGCAGUGGAUACGGGCAGACUAGAGGUAGGUAGGGGAGAAUGGAAUUCCCGGUGUAGCGGUGAAAUGCGCAGAUAUCGGGAGGAACACCGGUGGUGAAGGCGGUUCUCUGGGCCUUGCCUGACGCUGAGGAGCGAAAGCGUGGGGAGCGAACAGG